CCAACAUGGGGCUCAAACUCACGACCCUGAGAUCAAGAGUGGCAUACUGUACUGACUGAGCCAGCUGAGCACCCUAAACUUACUAACGUUUUAUUCAGCAUUGUCCAAUCUGCUGUUAAUCUCAUUCAGAGUAUCGUUCAUUUUAAGCAUUGCUUCUUUUUUCAUCUCCAGAAGUUUGAUUUGGGUCCUUUUAAGAUCUUACAUACCUCUUAUCAUGCUCACACUUUCCUCUAACUUUUUGAAGAUAUGGAGUUGUAUUAUAAUAGCUGUUUUAAUGUUCCUAAUUAAUUUAACUAAUUCUGUCACCUGUGUCAUUUCUGGGGCUGUUUCUAUUAAUUUUUUUUUCAUUAUAGGCUGUAUUUGCCUGCUUGCUGGAAUGCCUUCUAAUUUUUUAUUGCAUGCCAUUGUGCUGUGGUUUUCUUGUAUAAACAUUUUUGGGCUUUGUUCUGGGAUACAUUUAUGUUACUUGGAAACAGUUUGAGCCUUUCAAGUCUCACGUUUAAGCUUUGUUGGGCAGGUCCAGAAGAGCCCUUCAUUUACGGCUUAUUGGCCCAACUGCUAAGGUGAUAACCUUCUGAAGACUCUACUCGAUGCCCUACAUAUGAGGUCUUUCCACUCUAUCUGGUUGGAACACAAAUUAUUCCUGACCCAGUGUGACUCCCAAGUUUUGUUGUGCUUCUUCUUUUCCAGUGAUUUUUUUCCUCUGGCCCUGGUAGUUUUCUCACAUGCCUGUACCGAUCAGUACUCAGCUGAAGACUCAAGAGGUACUCUCCCAAGCUCUUCUUUUGUGCAGCUCUCUCCUCUGGUUUUCAACCUGAAAUUCUGAUGUUUUCACCUCCCAGAUCUUCCAACUCUGUUUCCUCUGCUCAGAGAGGUGACCGAGCUUUGCUUGGGUUCCUCCUCCCUAUGCUGCAGCCUGAAAAGAUCUCCCGCAGCCAGAGCAAUUACAGGAAUCACCUUGUUUAUUUCCUUCUCUGAAAAAUCUCUGUCCUGCACUGCCUGCUCUUUGAUCCCUGAAAACUAUGACUUCAUACAUUUUGUCCAGUUUCUAAAUUAUUUUAGGUGAGAGACUAAUUCUGGUCUCUGGUGAUAGCAGAUAUCAUACCAUAUAUUUUUUUUAUUUCCUAAUUUAAGUUUUUUGAAUCAUUUCUCAAGAUGGAGGAAGCUAAUAAAGUGGGAAAGACAAAAAAGCCUGAAAUGAACAAUUAAGAAACGCAAGAAACAAUCACAAUACUUUGACAAAAUGUAGUACUAGCUAAUAACUAAAUACCCAAAGCCUUUUAGAAAACAUGUCAAAAACCCUUUUAAUUAUUACCAUAUCUCAACUUUACAGCUUCAAGUAUUAAACAGACUCUAGCACUGGCAGCUUUUUGAAAACCCACCCUUCACUGCAAUUUUACCUGUGCCUCCUGAAAUACAGUCAACACAAUGCUGUGCUUUGGCUACUUGUGUUUUUUAAGAAUAAACCAAAAUCAGCAUUUUUAAUCAACCACAUUGGACCAGAUUGGGAGAGAAAGACUAAUGUGUUCCAAUUGCCUCGUUCCUCUUUAUGACCAAGCAGGAAGUUUCAGAUCAAACCUCCACCUCUCAGGAAGUUUACGUCAAAAUGAGUAUUGACAUCCUGUUUAAUAGAGUCUUAAAUUUUUUCCUCACUUCCAGACACUCACCAUUUGAAUUAAAAUGUUUGAGUAAUCUGUCCUGAAAUUAUGUUUCCUUUGACUCUCAGAAGACUAUGUCUAAGUGACAAAUGGAAUAUCUCUAUGACUAAUAAUGAUAAAAGUUAAAGGUUUUUUUUUUAGUAGUCAUGGAAAACUGUCCCUUGAGCUUCAAACUACUGUUGCUCUCCAGAGACAAUAAAUACCACACAUCUGUAGAAAAGUGGAUGUACUAAAUAAAUAUCUGAGGAGUUGAACCUGCCGCACAAACCAGCCCAGACCAAGACCAUCUCCAGAUGAGGCUGUCCCCUGCUGUACCUCAUUGAAGUGAUUGAUAGUUGAAGAAUCGUAAGGAAGAAGAGAGGGGUCAAAAGACCAUAAAGACAGAGCAACAUGAUUUUCAGCAAGGGAAGAAAGAAAUCGGGUCCUGGAAUACACAGGAUGAUCUGAAGACAUCUGAAGGUCUCUUCAGGCUGGCGGCCAUCCCUCAGCUCAGGGGCACAACCGGAAGGGCGCGCCCUGCAGGGGCUGGGUUGCUCUGGGCGGAGCGCUGGCCUCAGAGUUGCGUGGAUUGUGCAUGCGCGGAGGAUCCCGGCUCGGCUGGCUCGGCUCUGGAGGAGCAGGCGGUCACCAGGGAAGAAUGUGAGGUUGCGAAUAUGUGGAUCCAGGCCACAGGGGUGAGCAGGGCUCAGUGGGAGGGUGGACGCCUACCCUGGGUUUGUAGUCAGGGUCCUGGGGUUAACACUGGGCAGAAAACAAAAAUGACCUGCUCUGAGCUACCAGGAAAUUCCUUUAUUCCACAAGAGCUUCAGAAGACUCUCUAGACUCAGUUUCUCAUUAUAAAAGUCCUUCAUGGUAAAACCCAGGGCAGGGGUCCUGAUACCAGUUGUCCCCAAACCCAUUGCUGAAGCACAGCGCUCAUCUUUAGAGCUGGCUCCUUUUGGUAACAUCCUCUUUUUUGUUUUUUAAAUUCAGCCCCCAGUCCAGUUCUCUUUCCCACACUGAGGUCUUUUUUUAUACACCCCUAAAACGCUGUGGUAUAGAGUAUACUCAGCCUAUGAAAUACAAUCAACGUUAAAAGUGUCUCAUUGAGGGGCGCCUGGGUGGCUCAGUUGGUUGAGCGGCCGACUUCGG